UACGUAGGGUGCAAGCGUUGUCCGGAAUUAUUGGGCGUAAAGAGCUCGUAGGCGGUCUGUCGCGUCUGCUGUGAAAAUCCAGGGCUCAACCCUGGACCUGCAGUGGGUACGGGCAGACUAGAGUGCGGUAGGGGAGAUCGGAAUUCCUGGUGUAGCGGUGAAAUGCGCAGAUAUCAGGAGGAACACCGAUGGCGAAGGCAGGUCUCUGGGCCACUACUGACGCUGAGAAGCGAAAGCAUGGGGAGCGAACAGG
rnacentral:rRNA from 1 species